rnacentral:lncRNA from 1 species
CCUCGUUCCACAGGCCGUUUUGUACCGACGACCUGCUCCGGGAUGUGGUGGAUCUGUAUGUGCAGCCCAGUCUUGCUGCCAGGAGUGUGACGAGAGAAGUGUUGGGGGUUGGUGUACGUUCCUGUAGAGCUGACGGGGCUCAGAGACCGACUGCCCCUCGCUGCCGUGGCGACACGUCUCCCGCUGCUCUAUUUCUAUUAACACAGAAGUGGCUCCAGAGAACAGCCCCCUCCUCGGCCUGCUGAACUGCCUGAAGGACAUUCCCACCGACAGACCCCGUCACCCCAACGUGCAGAGCCCCAGCGCACCAGGAGCCGUGGAACACAAGGGAGUGGGGAUGGAGGUGAAGAGCUCAUGUGCCGCGGUUAAAACAGAAGUCACGACAGAGAGUUCCCCCAUCCAGGGGCUGAUGGAGCUCGCAGUAAAGAGGCCCAGUUAUCCAAGCACCCCAACCAGCAACUCGUCUACCAGCAGCGCACAAGGGGAUGUGGAAGACCGGAGGCUGGAGCUGGGGCUUUGGAAAUGUUCUCAUGAAGCGGGGGCGGCAGAGAAUAGCCCCCUCCAAGGCCUGCUUAACUGUCUGAAGGAAAUAGUCGUUCAUACGCCCCAUCAUCCCCACCCACCGCCCUGCGACUCGGCCCAGGGCAGCACGCGAGGAGACCCGGGGCAGAGGAGGCUGGAGAGCGAGGACGGGAGCUCGGCUGUGGAAGUGAAAACUGAAGUAACCGCGGAGGAUCCGCAGGACCCCGGCUUGGAGAGCUGCCCAUCAGCCAGGCCCGUGAGCAAAGCCAGCCCUCCUGCCAGGUUGGGCCGCUCCCCCGCGAGCAGGGCAGAACGUGAGGCCGGGGGUAGGAGCCUGUUCGGCGACGGAGCUGUUAAAACGGAAGGAGCUGCGGAGGGCUGCCCCACCCGUGGCCCGCUGUGCUGCUGGAGAGACGUGACCGGCCCCUGUCGUCCCGCCCGGCCAGCCUGCAGCUCCCCCCACAGCAGCACCCACCGCAGGGCGGAGCAGAGGAGGCCAGAGCCGGGGCCCUGGCGCGGUCCUUGGGAAGUUAAAGCAGAGGCAGCGCUGGAGGACUCCCCGCUGCGGGGCCUGGAGAACUGCCUGAAGGACAUCGCUGUGAACAGCCCCCGUCGCGCCCACGCGCCCGCCAGCCGCGGUGCGCACAGAGCCCUGGGGGAGCGGCCCGGGCG